CAAUAACAUUGUCUGGUUGUAGGGUUGCUGGUAUCAUCUGGAGGGCAGUUUUCUUUUGUAGCAGAAUAAAAGCCACUGGGAAGGGAGAAGAAGGUGAGGGUUGAGGAACACUUCCAGAUCUAGACCAGUUACUCAGAACAAACUGAAAAACCAACAAAGAGGAAAGCAUUGCAUCAGUGUUUGCAUGCACUAGGUUUUCAAACAAAUGAAGCUUUGGAGCGUCAUACCAGUGUUUGCACGCACUUGGUUUUUGAAUGAAUUAAGCCCAGUCCCCACCCAGCACCGCAGAAGAGAGAUGGUUCAGUGCUGCCCUCCUGGCUGGGGCUGUGUGUUCUGCCAUGCAACUGUGGGAGCACAGAGCCAGCAAACGUCACAAGGAGAGAGAACCUGUAGAAGCAAUUUGAAAGUGGAAGCAAUUCAAAGGGGUGAACUACAAGAGUCGCAGCACCACCUGGUGGACAAAGAGGCUCACUACACAUCUUUGAGUGCCUUUGUGUUUGCACGCAACAAAUCCGUGGACGCGAUGUUUUAAUUCAUGGCAAGCCAAACUAAACUACAUCUGAGGAGUUUUACUUUAAUGUGCCAGAAAGACUUUUAAAGUGUCUGGAAAACCUGCUUGUGCAAACAGUCACAUUGUCGCAGCGCAAGAAAGAGCAAAAAAUGUGGCGUGUACAAAGGCCCCAUGAUGACUCUCACAAUUCAGCAGAUGAGGAUUAGCACUAUUUAGGCCUCCUAAAUUCAUAAUGAUCUCACAGGUUCCCUUUUAAAGGGAAAAAUAACUUAGAUUUGUAGGGGAUUUACGCCUCACUAUUACCAGUUUAUCCAAGAGCCUGUAUUAACAGCUUAUGGAACUUCAGAUUCCUGCAUUGGCUUUCUCUUCUUCCUAUAAAUGAGCAUGGUGAAGCACGCAGACAAGAAUGCAACAUUUUUUAAACAAUAAAGACCGAUGAGUAUAGCCUAGAACUAAUUUGUUUCCUCAGAGCUGCAGACAUAGAUAGUACUAGUCAGUCCUAUUAAAUAUCUUUUAAAACAUCUUGGGAUGGAGGAAGUUGUGGGUCAUGUACAUUCAAGGCACUGAGGCAUUAAAUGAAGUGUUAGCCUUCUGUGCCAUCAGCAUCAUUUUUCUGUAUUGUGUGAAUUCUACAUGAACUGGGCAAAUGGCUUCUUGCCUACUAUCAUCUUGUCUCUAUGCUUACCAUAUCUUCACUCUGAAGAAUUUAACGAGUGUUUGUUCAACAGGCCAGAACAAGAGCUAAUCUGACAGUUUGUCACAACUAGAGUUCAUAUUGGUGGAAUUAAAGUGAAGGACGGGUCCAAAGGGUAAAUUUAAGAGAUUAUGGGUUUUGAGAGAGGCAGGGAAACACAUAUCUCUAUGCACUAGAACAAAGUGAGAAGUGGAGUGUCAAAAAAUUACUUUAAAGGGCAGAAAGAGAUUUUGAUUUCAUAGGACUCUAUGUGAAGUAGUUAGUAAGAAUGUUUUCAAAAUCCAAGACUGUGCAAUUACCCUUAACCCUUCACGUGCCUAUGCUACCCACGAUCUUCCUGUACUUGCGCAACAUGUUUUGUCCUUCCAAAUCCAUACACUGCCUGUUUAAGGUAUUAAUAACAAUCCAUCUACUCAUCCAUGAACUUGGCUUGUUUCCUGGUCACAGUAGUGUAGUAGUACAGAACACUCUUCCUAUUUAGUUAUGGGAAAGCUCACAUUUUCAAGAGUGCAAGGAAAACACCUGAGGGCUAGGGACACAUAAACUGGUAUAAGUGAGUGGAUUUCCUCUCUGUUCAAGCACCUUGGACUCUGUCUAUGGCUCUUGCCCUCCCCUGGUAGCCUAAACAGUAGGCAUAACUACCCAUGACCAAGUCUGUACACGAGUACUGCUUAGCUGACAGUCAUCUCAGAUCAUAUAAGAAGGGUCACCUUAGGUUUUAAACCAGGUAGAGAAAAGACUUGAAUUGAAGCUGACUGCCUUGAUCAUUAUACUAUAAGGGGAAUAGCCUUGUUAUCACUGGUUUAUGAAAGGUGCCUAACUUGUCUUGUGUAUCUGUCUAGAAAACCUAAGUAUAACAAUAUUUCAUUCUCACAUCUCUGAAGCCUCUUUCGGCUCCUGCCCCACCACCCAUCCCCACCCAGGAAUUCGGGUUUUCUGUUUACAGCAGAAA